UACCAGCACCCCGAGUGGUCGGGACGUUUAUUGGGCCUAAAGCAUCCGUAGCCGGUUCUACAAGUCUUCCGUUAAAUCCACCUGCUUAACAGAUGGGCUGCGGAAGAUACUAUAGAGCUAGGAGGCGGGAGAGGCAAGCGGUACUCGAUGGGUAGGGGUAAAAUCCAUUGAUCCAUUGAAGACCACCAGUGGCGAAGGCGGCUUGCCAGAAUGCGCUCGACGGUGAGGGAUGAAAGCUGGGGGAGCAAACCGG
rnacentral:rRNA from 1 species